AGUAAUAUUUACUUCAAUAUAUAAUAAAAAAUUUAUCACUUAUUCUUCUUUCAUUGAAAUUAUGUUUUUAUUUGCAAAUGACGCAAUUGUAAAGGUGGAUGUAGAAUUAAAAGAGGUAACGAAGAAUGGCAAAACGGAACUAUACGCAUCGAGAGUAAAAUCGAAGAUAGAUAUAACAAAAUACGGUUUUGAAUUUAAUAACAACGCAGAGGGCUCUCAACAACUACAUGAAGUUCUAUCCCAAACUAUAAAUGAAAACUCAAAGGAAAUUAUUAAGAUUUGUUCAUUUCAGGCAAAAACGCGUCGAAUGAGUCUAAUUUUACCAAAAUCGGAGGUAAUGGGGGUAUUCUACAUAAUUACCAAAACAUUAUUUGAAAAUGUUACUAUAAACACUUACAAUAAUACAAUAGAAAAUACACCAAAAACAAUUUCCACGAUAUCCCUACCAAAAUGUUCUUACAUUAAAUCAAAGCAACAAUGCGAAGGUAGUUUAACCCAGACAUCACAAUCGCAAAUGAAUAAGCGUGCUACAUUCUCAUCCAACUACGAAAAGACUUUAGACUCUACUCCGAAACGGAUCAAUGAUUUGAACGAAAAGCAACACAAGUCUAAAAAAUUGUCCGGCAUCUCGUCAGCUAAUUUUGGGAAAACCAAGCCUGCAAUGAUGGAGCGUCAUCAAGAAUGGCACGAUGAAUGUUACCUAUCUGACAUACAAGGCGAAUGCAGAGAUUAUGUCCAAAAGGAAUUCAAAAAAUUGUCACGACAAUUGUAUAAAAUCGAAGCGCUGCUAAAAGAGCCAAAUGCAGGACGAGGUUGUAGGACAAGAAUUAUUACCGUCGUUCCCGUUAAUAACGCUUCAGCAAUUCUUCGAAUGCGACAAUCAAUUGAAAGUGGAUGCGAACAUGAGAAAACAAUUCGAACACAUGAUAUGUCGAAUCGGAGGUUCGACAGGUAAACAAUUUAUUAGAAACAUUUUAUCACAUAUAAUGUGUAAUGAAAUAGGGACCCAAAUAUCAUGGACAGACCAAAAGAGUGGUGUACGUUUUAAAUCCACAUCCUUGUCCAAACUAAUAAUCGAUUCUGUGAUGAAAUGGUCACCAGCGUCACCCGUGCAGAACUAGAAGCUGCCAUGCAAGAACGGCUCCGUCGCUCAGGUGACAGGAUCAGAAGUACGAUUAAUAAUAAUAAAAUGUUUAUUAAUCAGUAAAACAAAGUUAUUUUACUGAUUAAUACACUUUUACUGGAAGUCUUCCAUGAGAAACUUUGCGAAACAUGUUUUGUAUCAACAUCGUGUCUUGUCGUUUCAAAAAGGAAUGGAACCGUUGACAUUACUUAUGAUUACGUGACGCGGCACUGGUUUUUAGAAUGUCAAGGAAAUCCAGUGAUAGUCUUAAUUUGUAACAUCUAUGCUGUAGGUUGAUCUUACGGAUAUACAGAAUGUCCCAGACCAAUGUAUAAAAAUUAUUACGAUGAAGUAGAAGGGAUCGAGAUAAAUCAAAA